ensembl:lncRNA
AUGGGGGAGGGGACCCCAAAAAUGGGGAGGGGACCCCAAAAUGGGGAGGGGGACUCCAAAAAUGGGGAGGGGGACCCCAAAAUUGGGGGAGGGGACCCCAAAAUUGGGGAGGGGGUCCCAAAAAUGGGGAGGGGGUCCCAAAAAUGGGGAGGGGACCCCAAAAAUGAGGGAGGGGAUCCUAAAAUGGGGGAGGGGGUCCUAAAAAUGGGGGAGGGGACCCAAAAAUGGGGAGGGGGACCCAAAAAUGGGGAGAGGAUCCCAAAAAAUGGGAGGGGUCCCAAAAAUGGGGAGGGGGACCCCAAAAAUGGGGGAGGGGAUUCCGAAAAUGGGGGAGGGGACCCCAAAAAUGGGGAGGGGACCCCAAAAAUGGGGAAAGGGACCCCAAAAUUGGGGAGGGGGAUCCCAAAAAUGGAGAAAGGGACCCCAAAAAUGGGGAAAGGGACCCCAAAAAUGGGGAGGGGGUCCCAAAAUUGGGGAGGGGGUCCCAAAAAUGGGGAGGGGGUCCCAAAAAUGGGGAAAGGGACCCCAAAAAUGGGGAGGGGGUCCCAAAAAGGGGGAGGGGACCCCAAAAAUGGGGAGGGGAACCCUAAAAAUGGGGGAGGGGAUCCUGAAAAUGGGGGAGGGGAUCCCAAAAUUGGGGAGGGGGUCCCAAAAAUGGGGAGGGGGACCCCAAAAAUGGGGAGGGGACCCCAAAAAUGGGGAGGGGACCCCAAAAAUGGGGAAAGGGAUGCCGAAAAUGGGGAGGGGGGUCCCAAAAAUGGGGGAGGGGGACCCCAAAAAUGGGGAGAGGAUCCUAAAAAUGGGGAGAGAACCCUAAAAAUGGGGAGGGAACCCCAAAAAUGGGGGAGGGGAUCCCAAAAAUGGGGAGGGGAUCCUAAAAAUGGGGGAGGGGAUCCUAAAAAUGGGGAGGGGAUCCUAAAAAUGGGGAGGGGGACCCCAAAAAUGGGGAGGGGGACCCCAAAUUUAGGGACAAACGCGCCCCUCCCCCCCGUUCCAGCUGUUGGGAACAUCUGGGCCGGAAGCGCCGCCCCUCCCCCCCCCCCCCCCCCCGUUCGUGCUGAGGCCCCGCGGGAAAAAUUGGGGGGAAAAAAGCCAAAAAUGGGAAAAAAAGAGAAAAAAAUCAAAAAUUCCUCCGGGAACCCCAAAAAAUUCCCCCAAAAACCGAAAAAAUCCACCCGGAACCCCAAAAUUCCACCGGGGACCCCAAAAAUCCACUCGGGAACCCCAAAAAUCCCCCGGGAACCCCAAAAAUUCAUCCGGGAACCCCAAAAAUCCACCCGGAACCCCAAAAAAUCCACUCGGGAACCCCAAAAAUCCACCCGGGAACCCCAAAAAUCCACUCGGGAACCCCAAAAUUCCACUCGGGAACCCCAAAAUUCCACUCGGGAACCCCAAAAUUCCACUCAGGAACCCCAAAAAAUUCAUCUGGGAUCCCCAAAAAUCCACCCAGGGACCCCCAAAAUUCCACCCGAGACCCAAAAAUUCCCCCGGGAACCCCAAAAAUCCACACGGGAACCCCAAAAUCCACCCGAGAAACUCAAAAAUUCCUCCGGGAACCCCAAAAAUUCAUCUGAGACCCCCAAAAUUCCCCCCAGGAUCCCCAAAAUUCCCCUCAGGACCCCCCAAAAUCCCCUCAAAAACCCCAAAAAAUCAUUUAAAGACCCCCCCAAACCCCAAAAUCCCCCCGGGAACCCCAAAAAUUCAUUCGGAACCCCCCAAAAUCCCCUCGGGACCCCCAAAAAUUGCCCUGAGACCCCCAAAAAAUCCCCAAAUAUCCCCCAGGACCCCUUAAAAUUCAUCUGA